UUAAGUCAGGCAACGAGCGAGACCCGCGCCCCCAGUUGCCAGCGGGUCCCUUCGGGGACGCCGGGCACACUGGGGGGACUGCCGGCGCUAAGCCGGAGGAAGGUGCGGGCAACGGCAGGUCCGUAUGCCCCGAAUCCCCCGGGCUACACGCGGGCUACAAUGGCCGGGACAAUGGGUACCGACCCCGAAAGGGGUAGGUAAUCCCCUAAACCCGGCCCCACCUGGGAUCGAGGGCUGCAACUCGCCCUCGUGAACCUGGAAUCCGUAGUAAUCGCGCCUCAAAAUGGCGCGGUGAAUACGUCCCUGCUCCU
rnacentral:rRNA from 1 species